rnacentral:rRNA from 1 species
AUUGAACGCUGGCGGCAGGCCUAACACAUGCAAGUCGAGCGGAUGAAGGGAGCUUGCUCCUGGAUUCAGCGGCGGACGGGUGAGUAAUGCCUAGGAAUCUGCCUGGUAGUGGGGGAUAACGUCCGGAAACGGGCGCUAAUAGCGCAUACGUCCUGAGGGAGAAAGUGGGGGAUCUUCGGACCUCACGCUAUCAGAUGAGCCUAGGUCGGAUUAGCUAGUUGGUGGGGCAAAGGCCUACCAAGGCGACGAUCCGUAACUGGUCUGAGAGGAUGAUCAGUCACACUGGAACUGAGACACGGUCCAGACUCCUACGGGAGGCAGCAGUGGGGAAUAUUGGACAAUGGGCGAAAGCCUGAUCCAGCCAUGCCGCGUGUGUGAAGAAGGUCUUCGGAUUGUAAAGCACUUUAAGUUGGGAGGAAGGGCAGUAAGUUAAUACCUUGCUGUUUUGACGUUACCAACAGAAUAAGCACCGGCUAACUUCGUG